rnacentral:rRNA from 1 species
AACGAACGCUGGCGGCAUGCCUAACACAUGCAAGUCGAACGAGACCUUCGGGUCUAGUGGCGCACGGGUGCGUAACGCGUGGGAACCUGCCCUUAGGUUCGGAAUAACUCCCCGAAAGGGGUGCUAUACCGGAUAAUGUCUUCGGACCAAAGAUUUAUCGCCUUUGGAUGGGCCCGCGUUGGAUUAGCUAGUUGGUAGGGUAAAAGCCUACCAAGGCGACGAUCCAUAGCUGGUCUGAGAGGAUGAUCAGCCACACUGGGACUGAGACACGGCCCAGACUCCUACGGGAGGCAGCAGUGGGGAAUAUUGGACAAUGGGCGAAAGCCUGAUCCAGCAAUGCCGCGUGAGUGAUGAAGGCCUUAGGGUUGUAAAGCUCUUUUACCCGGGAUGAUAAUGACAGUACCGGGAGAAUAAGCGCCGGCUAACUCCGUG